GAUGAACGCUGGCGGCGUGCCUAACACAUGCAAGUCGAGCGAUUCUCUUCGGAGAAGAGCGGCGGACGGGUGAGUAACGCGUGGGUAACCUGCCCUGUACACACGGAUAACAUACCGAAAGGUAUGCUAAUACGAGAUAAUAUGCUUUUAUCGCAUGGUAGAAGUAUCAAAGCUCCGGCGGUACAGGAUGGACCCGCGUCUGAUUAGCUAGUUGGUAAGGUAACGGCUUACCAAGGCGACGAUCAGUAGCCGACCUGAGAGGGUGAUCGGCCACAUUGGAACUGAGACACGGUCCAAACUCCUACGGGAGGCAGCAGCGGGGAAUAUUGCACAAUGGGCGAAAGCCUGAUGCAGCAACGCCGCGUGAGCGAUGAAGGCCUUCGGGUCGUAAAGCUCUGUCCUCAAGGAAG
rnacentral:rRNA from 1 species